rnacentral:rRNA from 1 species
GACGAACGCUGGCGGCGUGCUUAACACAUGCAAGUCGAGCGGUAAGGCCCCUUCGGGGGUACACGAGCGGCGAACGGGUGAGUAACACGUGAGCAAUCUGCCCUUCACACGGGGAUAACUCCGGGAAACCGAAGCUAAUACCCGAUACGACCACUUCAGGCAUCUGAUGGGGGUGGAAAGUUCCGGCGGUGAAGGAUGAGCUCGCGGCCUAUCAGCGUGUUGGUGGGGUAGCGGCCCACCAAGGCAACGACGGGUAGCCGGCCUGAGAGGGUGACCGGCCACACUGGGACUGAGACACGGCCCAGACUCCUACGGGAGGCAGCAGUGGGGAAUAUUGGACAAUGGGCGAAAGCCUGAUCCAGCAACGCCGCGUGAGGGAUGACGGCCUUCGGGUUGUAAACCUCUUUCAGCAGGGACGAAGCGCAAGUGACGGUACCUGCAGAAGAAGCACCGGCCAACUACGUGCCAGCAGCCGCGGUAAGAC